UUUGUAGGUGGGUAAGCAAGUCAAUUGUUAAAUCUAGAAGCUCAACUUCUAACCAGCAAUCUGAAACUGCUUAUCUUGAGGGUGGUAGGGGUAGAGGGAAUUCCUAGUGUAGCGGUGAAAUGCGUAGAUAUUAGGAAGAACACCAACGGCGAAGGCACUCUGCUGGGCCACACCUGACACUGAGAAACGAAAGCUAGGGGAGCGAACG
rnacentral:rRNA from 1 species